CAUCCAUAUCGAUAUCUUGUUCGUAUAUCCCUGAUAAUAGGGUUCAGGGGUCUCUACGAGGAACCGUAAAUUCCUGGCUACGAACGAGUGACUCUCCGUA
rnacentral:ncRNA from 2 species